CUACGGGAGGCUGCAGUGGGGGAUAUUGCACAAUGGGCGAAAGCCUGAUGCAGUAACGCCGCGUGAAGGAUGACGGAUUUCGGUCUGUAAACUUCUAUCAGCAGGGAAGAAAAUGACGGUACCUGACUAAGAAGCCCCGGCUAACUACGUGCCAGCAGCCGCGGUAAUAGGUAGGGGGCAAGCGUUAUCCGGAAUUACUGGGUGUAAAGGGUACGUAGGCGGCUGAUCAAGUCAGAUGUGAAAGCCCGGAGCUCAACUCCGGGAUUGCAUUUGAAACUGGUCGGCUAGAGUGCAGGAGAGGAAAGUGGAAUUCCUAGUGUAGCGGUGAAAUGCGUAGAUAUUAGGAAGAACACCAGUGGCGAAGGCGGCUUUCUGGACUGUAACUGACGCUGAGGUACGAAAGCGUGGGGAGCGAACAGGAUUAGAUACCCGCGUAGUC
rnacentral:rRNA from 1 species